UUCCUUCCCUUCUUCCCCUCCUCCAUCCCACCCUUCUUUCCUCAAAUCCCAAACCUCUAGUAUUCCAGCUUCUGUGCUGAGUUUGGCUAUGUGGUGGUAAAGAAAACCUCUGGGAUUCUUGCCCUCAUGAAGUUCAUAGCUAAGCUUGAGUAAUUUCUGUAGAACUUUGAUAUUUUCUUCUGUAUCUUCCUCUACAAAUGCUUAUCAUUGCUUAGCAAGGUGCUGUAUUACAUAAGUAGGUUCUUUGAAAAGGCAUAAUACCUUCCAGUUCCAACCACACUGAAGCAAAUGAACAUCUGGCAGGAUGAUCAUUUUCUGAAAGUAUUUUGGAAAACACCGAUGAGGAGCUACAACUGGGUGACUCCGGGAAGUCAGCCAGCAAGAUAUAAGAUUAUCUAUAGACUUCCUAUAUGAUAGCUGAAAAUUUAGCUCUCUUACAAGACCCAUUCCUGGAUAACUCCAUUAACAAGUUCUUCCUUUUUUGCUAUUAUUUGAAUUUACCUGGCCUGUGGUUGCCCAGUUAAAGCCUACAUUUUCCAGCUUCCUUUGCAACUAAAUGUGACCAUGUGACCAGGUAUUGACCAAUAGAAUGAGAG